rnacentral:tRNA from 35 species
CGCGGAGUGGAGCAGUUGGCAGCUCGUCGGGCUCAUAACCCGAAGGUCGUAGGUUCGAGUCCUGCCUCCGCAACCA